rnacentral:rRNA from 1 species
CCUACGGGAGGCAGCAGUAGGGAAUCUUCCGCAAUGGACGAAAGUCUGACGGAGCAACGCCGCGUGAACGAUGAAGGCCUUCGGGUCGUAAAGUUCUGUUGUUAGGGAAGAACAAGUGCUAGUUGAAUAAGCCGGCACCUUGACGGUACCUAACCAGAAAGCCACGGCUAACUACGUGCCAGCAGCCGCGGUAAUACGUAGGUGGCAAGCGUUGUCCGGAAUUAUUGGGCGUAAAGCGCGCGCAGGCGGUUUCUUAAGUCUGAUGUGAAAGCCCCCGGCUCAACCGGGGAGGGUCAUUGGAAACUGGGAAACUUGAGUGCAGAAGAGGAAAGUGGAAUUCCAAGUGUAGCGGUGAAAUGCGUAGAGAUUUGGAGGAACACCAGUGGCGAAGGCGACUUUCUGGUCUGUAACUGACGCUGAGGCGCGAAAGCGUGGGGAGCAAACAGGAUUAGAUACCCUGGUAGUCCACGCUGUAAACGAUGAGUGCUAAGUGUUAGAGGGUUUCCGCCCUUUAGUGCUGAAGUUAACGCAUUAAGCACUCCGCCUGGGGAGUACGGUCGCAAGACUGAAACUCAAAGGAAUUGACGG